AUCAUUUUUCAAUGUUGGUAUCAAAAAAAUUGACUUUCUAUUAAAUUGAUGGUCGUAUUUUUGAAUACAGACGAGGUGCUAGGAGCUUGCUCCACCUUUGUCACGGGUUGGCCAAGUAUUGCAGUACAGCCUGGUUCGGCCCAAAUAAA